GUGGAGAUGGUCAAAUGAAUGAUUUAGUUUGCUGGUAUUAUCAUUGGAACCGCGAUUGGUUUAAACGUGGUAAGUGGAGUUAGUUGAGCCAGUCCUCAGAGUGUUGUCAUAACCGAAAGGUAACCUCAAACAGAUUACUUCUUUGGUUGUGAAGAUCGUGUGAUUUUGGAAUAAGAAGUCUGGGCUGAGAUUCGUUUCGUUUGAGUCUCUCGACUGCGGCUUCUUCUGAGCUGAUGUGGGUGGGGCAAGGUUCGGUGGCUUGGUUGUAACUCCGUCAUUCCACCGCGUCAAGAGGUAG